rnacentral:misc_RNA from 1 species
UACGGAGGGUGCAAGCGUUGCUCGGAAUUAUUGGGCGUAAAGGGUAGGUAGGUGGUCUUGUUUGUCAGGGGUGAAAGCCUUGGGCUUAACCUGAGAAGUGCCUCUGAAACGGCAAGACUAGAGUCCUGGAGAGGGUCGUGGAAUUCCCGGUGUAGCGGUGAAAUGCGUAGAGAUCGGGAGGAACACCAGAGGCGAAGGCGGCGACCUGGACAGGAACUGACACUAAACUACGAAAGCGUGGGUAGCAAACAGG